rnacentral:miRNA from 1 species
CGGCAGACACGAACUAGGUGAC